UUUUUAGUUGGGACGUAGUCCCAACUAGUGCACUUACAAACCCGAAAUUUCCAACCAUACAGGGUAACGCCCACUGCUGUGACGUUUCAUCGCCACUCUAUAUGCUAUAUUGUAUUCUAACAUAUCAACGUAAGCUGAAUUCAUAGUGAUCACCCGACCAUGACCGACGCAUAACCGCCGCGAGUGAAAAAUAGUGCUCUGAAUUUCUGAAAACUUCGAUUUAUUGCGAACAGAAGAGGAGACAAGAAAUUUAUUAUUGGAAAUAAUGUGCAAUUGAGCUUGAAUUACGGUAUUAGAAACGUAGCGGAUACAAUUUGAAAGGUCACAUAAUUCUAUGAAUGGGAUAGUAAAUUAAUUGGGUCAUAGUGCUUGACGGCUUGCAAUAUUUAACUUACUCAUCCGCCUUAUCAUCACAUUUUUUUGUAUUAUAUUCCAGAAAUUUUUGAAAAAGACAUUAUUUAUCGGAUAAAUUUUGUAGUUUAUAAUUGCAAAGUGGAUAUUGAAAUAGAAUUAGCCAGAGAUGUAGAUAAUCUAUUCGUCUCUGAAUUAGCCGAUAAUUAGGUUAAAUGAAUCCGACAACUUCCGGUAUAUUUUUUGACCUACUUCACGAGCAUAAUUAUCAGCCUGUUAAGCUCAUAAGGGAAAUAAAAGAUCAUUUACUUUAAUAUUCACUUGGAAAGGCUGGUACAUGUAGCUAGAAAAAAGUACAGUAUAAGAUUAAACAAAGACUAGAAGAUUAUUACAAACAACAGGUGGACAUGUGUCACUGUCAAGCGAAUGAAGAUAAGCAUCACACUCGGUGGGAAUCUCCAGUUUCCAGAUGUAGUGAUCAUAACUGUAUAGGCACCAUUAACACUUUGGACUAGUUGGAGUAUUUUAGAGGGCUAGUCUGAAUUGAAUCCCCUGUCAAUAGUAAAGGCCAGUCAUGAACAUUGUGUUAAAGGAAAAUGUUAAAACUCGGAUUUCCCGCUUAACCAAUCAUUACUUUACCUUAUAUUCAGUGCGGUAAUGUAGGAAAUGGUUACUUUCUGGAACGGAGCUGUCAAUUAUUUUUAUGCCCCCCUUCGAAGAAGAGGGGGUAUAUUGUUUUGCUAAUGUCGGUCUGUCGGUCUGUCUGUCGGUCCGUCGGUCUGUCCGUCGGUAGACCACAUGGUUUCCGCUGAUUAUCUUGAAAAGUAUUUAUCACAAAGUCUUCAUAUUUUACAUAGUGAUUGGUCAUAACUAGUAGAUGACCCCUAUUGAUUUUGGGGUCACUAGGUCAAAGGUCAAGGUCACAGGGACCUUAAAUGUCAAAAUGGUUUCCGCUGAUUAUCUUGAAAAGUAUGUAUCACAAAGUCUUCAUAUUUCACAUAGUGAUUGGUCAUCACUAGUAGAUGACCCCUAUUGAUUUUGGGGUCACUAGGUCAAAGGUCACAGGGGCCUUAAAUGUCAAAAUGGUUUCCGCUGAUUAUCUUGAAAAAGUAUGUAUCACAAAGUCUUCAUAUUUCACAUAGUGAUUGGUCAUCACUAGUAGAUGACCCCUAUUGAUUUUGGGGUCACUAGGUCAAAGGUCAAGGUCACAGGGGCCUUAAAUGUCAAAAUGGUUUCCGCUGAUUAUCUUGAAAAAGUAUGUAUCACAAAGUCUUCAUAUUUCACAUAGUGAUUGGUCAUAACUAGUAGAUGACACCUAUUUAUUUUGGGGUCACUAGGUCAAAGGUCAAGGUCACAGGGGCCUUAAAUGUCAAAAGGGUUUCCGCUGAUUAUCUUGAAAAAGUAUUCAUCACAAAGUCUUCAUAUUUCACCUAGUUAUUGGUCAUAAGUAGUAGAUGACCUCUAACGAUUUAGGGGUCAUUAGGUCAAAGGUCAAUGUCACAUGGGCCUUAAAUUUCAAAAUGGUUUCUGUUGAUUUUUCCAUAAUUUAACACUUCCAUGUACCCAUUUUUGGCAAGUUUCUGUAAUAAAAUUACCAAUUAUGUGAGUCAAUUGCUAGAAAGGGGGGUAUAUGUGUCGUUCGACAUUCUUGUUAAUUUUUUAGCUUGUUAGUGUUAUCGUCGGACAGUUGUGAAGUAAAGACAUCGCAGUUUGACUGUAUACAAGUUGCCUUAAAGAAAGUAUGUCGAAAUCUUAACAGUUAUUCGUUGAUUUUGUAGAAAUUGACCAGAAUUCACCUUUGUUUACACGCAUCGCUUGGACGUCGAAAACGACAUGCAAUGACAUUUCAGUGAAAUUUGGAAACUUGCUCGUAUUUUGGAGCAUUUUGUAGGAUUUCGAUGAAGUAAAGUGUUUAUGAUAGGAUACAUUAUUCCUAGAGACAACCACAAAAAUAAAAUAGUGAUCUGGUGUAUUUUUACCGAACAGUUCUUGUUUGUUUUGCAUGAUAUUUUUCUCUCGUUAGGGACCUUUAUUCUUUAUAUAUAGUAUUAUGAGCGUAUAUGGGUAAAUGUGGUAUAUAGUGCCUGUGGUUUUAUCAUGUAUCUUAGCUUGCCUGGUGUAAUGAUAAGUAAUAAACCUGAGAAUUGAAACUA